CCUCCGCAGCCUGGGGUGGACCCCACACCCACCUCUGGCUUGAGGAGCGGGGAGUGGGCAGGGGUGGCAGAAAGUGGCUAUUUCCAUGGGAGCCGGUCAGACUGGUCAGUCCCUGCUGCCUUUCGCAGCCUCGUGUGUAACUGCUGUGGACCACGCCACUUGAUGUCAGGCAUCCGCACUCAACCCAGCGAGGUCAGAUCUGCUCCUUAAAGAUGCGUCUUGAUCAAGCAGCCUGUCCAUCCUGUCCAACGGCCGGUCCUACGUCCCUCCUGUCACCACCUGCACCGUGAGCUUUGGCAGCCACACCAUCCCAGCGACCUCUCUGCAGCCAGGUGCCACAACCACCCUGGCUUUCUGUCCCUUGACCUCGUCAGUGCCCUUCUCAUCAGGGGUCUCUGCACCCACUGUCCCUUCUACUGGGAACACUUCUCCCUGGUUGUGACCUGGCCAUUGACCUGACUCAGGCGGCAUCUUCCUCCAGCCACCUGGUGAUGCACAGAGGCCUCCAACUGGAAGACCCUCUGCGGGGACAGCCCCAUGCGUCCAGGACACCAGCUCUGACCGUGAUGACUCACGGGACACAGCCACAUCAUGCCCCGGCCCCUCCCGCACCACGACCAGGCGGGCCACCCUACCGUCGUCUCUACCCCAAGUCCAAGCCGGGACAGAGAGGCCGGCUCCUGGGCUGCCUGUUAAUUUUGGGUUUAUCACCCUGUCUCUGGCACCCCUCUUCCCAGGCUGUGCUGGGGGGGCACCCCACCUGAUGAGACUAGUCUCAAGCGGGGGCUAAGACCUAGUCGGCUUGGUCCCGGAGAGCGUGGGCCACCCCGCAACCCACCCGCAGCGCUGCCCACCUUCCCCCGCCCGGGGUGGAACUAAAAGAACAGGCCUCCCCGCCACGAGGCCAGGCGGUGAGGGGGCAGCGAGGGGGCACUCCAGGAAAGCGGCAUCGCGCGCCACGGUGCCAAGGCCCAGGGCCGGGUAGCGGGCAUCUGCAGCGGGAACAUCUGAACACACGCACAGGAGGCAGGAGGCAAAGGCGCCGGCCUCUGCCCGCAGGGGGCACCGGAGGGGAGGCCCCAUG